rnacentral:rRNA from 1 species
AAAGGAAUUGACGGGGACCCGCACAAGUAGUGGAGCAUGUUGUUUAAUUCGAUGAUACGCGAAAAACCUUACCGAGGCUUGACAUGUCCGUCGCGACUUCCUGAAAUGGUUGUCUUCAAUUCGGUUGGACGGAACACAGAUGCUGCAUGGCUGUCGUCAGCUCGUGUCGUGAGAUGUUGGGUUAAGUCCCGCAACGAGCGCAACCCUCAUUGCUAGUUGCCAUCGGGUAAUGCCGGGAACUCUAGCGAAACUGCCGGUGACAAGCUGGAGGAAGGUGGGGAUGACGUCAAGUCAGCAUGGCUCUUACGCCUCGGGCUACAAACGUGCUACAAUGGCGCUUACAGAAAGCAGCGACAUCGCAAGGUGAAGCUAAUCUUUAAAAAGCGUCUCAGUUCGGAUUGUCCCCUGCAACUCGGGGGCAUGAAGUCGGAAUUACUAGUAAUCGCGGAUCAGCAUGCCGCGGUGAAUACGUUCUCGGGUCUUGUACACACCGCCCGU